AGAUAACACAUGACGACGCUUGCAAACGGCAUAAUGCGUUGGCUCAUUGCUGUUACGUGGCUAUUUCUUGUCCAUAAAGGUUUGUUUCAUUGAAAGAAGUAUUAAUUCGUUUGGAGAAGCAUUCUACUCCCUGGGAUGUACGAGAGAUCAAGUGUGCAGAAACCUAACUUCAACUUCUUCGACGAGUCAGUGCUCACAAUGUUGUCAUAAAGAUCUAUGUAACCAC